rnacentral:misc_RNA from 1 species
GAUGAAGAACGUAGCGAAAUGCGAUAAGUAAUGUGAAUUGCAGAAUUCAGUGAAUCAUCGAAUCUUUGAACGCACAUUGCGCCCCUUGGUAUUCCGAGGGGCAUGCCUAUUCGAGCGUCAUUAUAACCCCUCAAGCUCAGCUUGGUGUUGGGGCCUGCUGCACUGGCAGCCCUUAAAAUCAGUGGCGGCGCCAUCUGGCUCUAAGCGUAGUAAUUCUUCUCGCUAUGGAGUCCUGGUGGAUGCUUGCCAUCAACCCCCAAUUUUUCUAUGGUUGACCUCGGAUCAGGUAGGGAUACCCGCUGAACUUAAGCAUAUCAAUAAGCGGAGGA